CCACAACCCAGUCAGCCCAUUACCUUUUCCCCCACUUCACACUUAACCCCUCUUUAGCAAUAACAUCCAUUCAACAUACAACCACCAUAACAAAAUCUUGAAACAGCGUACAAAAGCCAGCUCCAACAAUAUCAGCAAUAAGAUGGACAACAACACGCAUCAACUUCAACGAAAAACUUCUCCAAAUUACGGAAAAUCUCUCCUUUCAUCUUUGUCUCUAAAGUUUUCAGACCUCGAGCCUUGACUGUUUGACUUUGAAAUUCUCUAUUUUCUUGCAAUUUUGGGGGCAUGUCUUCCUCCCACUAGUGUUUUCCUCCAAUUUGUUCAAUCAAUUUGAGGUACCCUGUUCAAACGGCUAGUUGGGAAACUAAUAUCAAUAUUUCCCCUAUAAAUAGAGACAAAGUUGGGGAAGAUUUUGUUGCUGGUCUUUUCUUUUGAUUUCAGUCUAAAUCUUGGGUUUUCGAGUUUCAGUUUAUGGCCGGAAAUUCUUGACGCGAAGCUUUAGUUUGCUGCCCCGCAAAAGGAAAGAGUAGUCAUCGUAGUGAAGAUAUUUGGAAUAAUGGCUUAUGUGACACAUUGACAUAUCGUUAGUAUGAUGGUGACUUUUGGAACUAUAUAAGUAGAAAUCCAUUAAAUGAGUGUGUGUCGUUACUUGCUCGAUGCUGAAUUUUAUGGUAUAUAUGCACCUGGACACAAGCCACUUGAUCAUGCUAUGAUCACUGCGUUGGUAGAAAGAUGAUGGUCAGAAACACACACAUUUCAUUUAAACUUUGGAGAGGCCACAAUUACAUUGCAGGACGUAGCUAUAUUAUAUGGACUGCCAGUCGAUGGAUUACCUGUGAUGGAAACAGAUCUUACCUUGAACCCUACAAAGUGGCAAACAAGUAUGGUAGAUCUUCUUGGUUGGGCAUCGAUAGAUAUUGAUCGAGAAUUUGCGAAUUUGUCCAAAGUUGGUCAAUAUUCUUGGGUUGCAGCAACACUUGCAAUACUUUAUGGAUAUCUUUGUCGUGCAUCGCAAAAAGGAAUUAGAAUCGCAAAAAGGAAUUAGAGUCAUUGAUGGUUUUUUACCUUUACUUCAGUUUGUGUGGCAGCCAUACAGUCCCGAUGUUUUUGCUACAUUACCAGAUUAUUGUGUGAAUGAUUCCACUGUUUGGCGUGCUAUUGUGCCCGUAAUAGCUUGGGAUGUAGUUGAGUGGCACUAUCCAGAUAGGGUGCUACGUCAGUUUGAGUUGAUUCAGAAUAUUUCGAGUAAAAUAUUGUGGGAUCCCAAACAUUUUCAGUUGAAUCGGAGAGGUUGAGCUAACUUUAAUUGGCAUCAUUUUUUUAUUAAAGAGACGAAAUCGCAAUGCUGAGCCUGAUUGUCUCAAAGAUGACAAUGAAUAUAUGCAGUGGUCUAACACGAUUACUCGUCAUUUGAUCAAUAAUCCGGCUCAUCAAUUUAGACAAGGUUAUCAGAGUUUUGCAGGCAGACACAAAAUUUUUGUACAACACUACCUUAUAAUUAUUUGCAUAAUUAUGCUUUACUUUCAGCUUCCUUACGUAAGUUCUAGUAGGUCAUAAAGUUAUGUGAUAUUAUUAGUAAAAGCCCACUUUACGUUACAAUUUACAACAUCAUAAAAAAAGAUUUAUUUAGCAUUCAA